AUUGAACGCUGGCGGCAGGCUUAACACAUGCAAGUCGAGCGGAGAUGAGGUGCUUGCAUCUUAUCUUAGCGGCGGACGGGUGAGUAAUGCUUAGGAAUCUGCCUAUUAGUGGGGGACAACAUUCCGAAAGGAAUGCUAAUACCGCAUACGUCCUACGGGAGAAAGCAGGGGAUCUUCGGACCUUGCGCUAAUAGAUGAGCCUAAGUCGGAUUAGCUAGUUGGUGGGGUAAAGGCCUACCAAGGCGACGAUCUGUAGCGGGUCUGAGAGGAUGAUCCGCCACACUGGGACUGAGGCACGGCCCAGACUCCUACGGGAGGCAGCAGUGGGGAAUAUUGGACAAUGGGGGAACCCUGAUCCAGCCAUGCCGCGUGUGCGAAGAAGGCCUUAUGGUUGUAAAGCACUUUAAGCGAGGAGGAGGCUACUGAGACUAAUACUCUUGGAUAGUGGACGUUACUCGCAGAAUAAGCACCGGCUAACUCUGUGCCAGCAGCCGCAGUAACAC
rnacentral:rRNA from 1 species